AGAGUUUGAUCCUGGCUCAGGACGAACGCUGGCGGCGUGCUUAACACAUGCAAGUCGAGCGGAAAGGCCCUCUUCGGAGGGUACUCGAGCGGCGAACGGGUGAGUAACACGUGAGUAACCUGCCCCUGACUUUGGGAUAAGCCUGGGAAACUGGGUCUAAUACUGGAUAGGACCAUGCUGGGCAUCUGGUGUGGUGGAAAGAUUUGGUUCGGUUGGGGAUGGGCUCGCGGCCUAUCAGCUUGUUGGUGGGGUGGUGGCCUACCAAGGCGACGACGGGUAGCCGGCCUGAGAGGGUGUCCGGUCACACUGGGACUGAGAUACGGCCCAGACUCCUGCGGGAGGCAGCAGUGGGGAAUAUUGCGCAAUGGGCGGAAGCCUGACGCAGCGACGCCGUGUGGGGGAUGAAGGCCUUCGGGUUGUAAACCUCUUUCACCAUUGACGAAGUCUUGCUCUUUUGGGGUGGGGUGACGGUAGGUGGGGAAGAAGCGCCGGCUAACUACGUGCCAGCAGCCGCGGUAAUACGUAGGGCGCGAGCGUUGUCCGGAUUUAUUGGGCGUAAAGAGCUCGUAGGUGGUUUGUCGCGUCUGCCGUGAAAGCUGACAGCUUAAUUGUGGGUUUGCGGUGGAUACGGGCAUAACUUGAGGCAGGUAGGGGAGAAUGGAAUUCCCGGUGUAGCGGCGAAAUGCGCAGAUAUCGGGAGGAACACCGGUGGCGAAGGCGGUUCUCUGGGCCUUGCCUGACACUGAGGAGCGAAAGCGUGGGGAGCGAACAGGAUUAGAUACCCCCGUAGUCC
rnacentral:rRNA from 1 species